rnacentral:rRNA from 1 species
GAAACCAUGUCGCUAGAUGUGGUGGAGCCAAUCUUGAAAUACCACCCUUGUAUGCGUGAUGUUCUAACCUAGGGCCCUUAUCGGGCUUGGGGACACUGUCUGGUGGGUAGUUUGACUGGGGCGGUCUCCUCCCAAAGAGUAACGGAGGAGCACGAAGGUUGGCUAAGUACGGUCGGACAUCGUACGGUUAGUGCAAUGGCAUAAGCCAGCUUAACUGCGAGACAGACACGUCGAGCAGGUACGAAAGUAGGUCAUAGUGAUCCGGUGGUUCUGUAUGGAAGGGCCAUCGCUCAACGGAUAAAAGGUACUCCGGGGAUAACAGGCUGAUACCGCCCAAGAGUUCAUAUCGACGGCGGUGUUUGGCACCUCGAUGUCGGCUCAUCACAUCCUGGGGCUGAAGUCGGUCCCAAGGGUAUGGCUGUUCGCCAUUUAAAGUGGUACGCGAGCUGGGUUUAGAACGUCGUGAGACAGUUCGGUCCCUAUCUGCCGUGGGCGUUUGAGAAUUGAAGAGGGCUGCUCCUAGUACGAGAGGACCGGAGUGGACGAACCACUGGUGUUCGGGUUGUCAUGCCAAUGGCAUUGCCCGGUAGCUACGUUCGGAACUGAUAACCGCUGAAAGCAUCUAAGCGGGAAGCAGGCUUUGAGAUGAGUUCUCACUGGGACUUUAAGUCCCCUAAAGGGUCGUUGGAGACUACAACGUUGAUAGGUCAGGUGUGUAAGUGCUGCGAGGCAUUGAGCUAACUGAUACUAAUUGCCCGUGAGGCUUAACCAUACAACACCCAAGUAGUU